rnacentral:rRNA from 1 species
UACGAGGGGGGCGAGCGUUGUUCGGAAUUAUUGGGCGUAAAGGGUGCGUAGGCGGUUUGGUAAGUCAGAUGUGAAAUCCCGGGGCUCAACCCCGGAACUGCAUCCGAUACUGCCAUGCUAGAGGAUUGGAGAGGUAGCUGGAAUUCUUGGUGUAGCAGUGAAAUGCGUAGAGAUCAAGAGGAACACUCGUGGCGAAAGCGAGCUACUGGACAAUUCCUGACGCUGAGGCUCGAAGGCUAGGGUAGCGAAAGGG